CACGUAGGGUGCAAGCGUUGUCCGGAAUCAUUGGGCGUAAAGAGCUCGUAGGCGGCUCAGUAAGUCGGGUGUGAAAACUCUAGGCUCAACCUAGAGAGGCCACCCGAUACUGCUGUGGCUAGAGUCCAGUAGGGGAGUGUGGAAUUCCCGGUGUAGCGGUGAAAUGCGCAGAUAUCGGGAGGAACACCAGCGGCGAAGGCGGCACUCUGGGCUGGAACUGACGCUGAGGAGCGAAAGCGUGGGUAGCGAACAGGAUUAGAAACCCCCGUAGUCC
rnacentral:rRNA from 1 species